rnacentral:rRNA from 1 species
GACGAACGCUGGCGGCGUGCUUAACACAUACAAGUCGAACGGUAAGGCCCUUCGGGGUACACGAGUGGCGAACGGGUGAGUAACACGUGGGUGAUCUGCCCUGCACUUCGGGAUAAGCCUGGGAAACUGGGUCUAAUACCGGAUAGGACCACUGCCUGCAUGGGUGGUGGUGGAAAGCUUUUGAGGUGUGGGAUGGGCCCGCGGCCUAUCAGCUUGUUGGUGGGGUGAUGGCCUACCAAGGCGACGACGGGUAGCCGGCCUGAGAGGGUGACCGGCCACACUGGGACGGAGAUGCGGCCCAGACUCCUACGGGUGGCAGCAGUGGGGAAUAUUGAACAAUGGGCGAAAGCCUGAGGCAGAGACGCCGCGUGAGGGAUGACGGCCUUCGGGUUGUAAACCUCUUUCAGCACCGACGAAGCACAAGUGACGGUAGGUGCAGAAGAAGGACCGGCCAACUACGUGCCAGCCGCCACCGUAA